GACGAACGCUGGCGGCGUGGAUUAGGCAUGCAAGUCGAACGGUAUCAUCCUUUCGGGGGUGAGAGAGUGGCGAACUGGUGAGUAACACGUAGGUUAUCUACCCUCAAGACGGGGACAACCCAGGGAAACUUGGGCUAAUACCGGAUGUGAGCAACUUUUAGUUGUUUGAAAGGUGGCGUAAGCUGUCGCUUGGGGAUGAGCCUGCGUCCUAUUAGUUAGUUGGUGAGGUAACGGCUCACCUAGGCAAUGAUAGGUAGGCGGCCUUAACGGGUGGUCGCCCACACUGGGAUUGAGAUACGGCCCAGACUCCUACGGAAGGCAGCAGUCGAGAAUAGUCUACAAUGGUCGGAAGACUGAUAGUGCGACGCCGCGUGAACGAUGAAUCCCUUCGGGGUGUAAAGUUCUUUUAUAUGUGAGCAGUGCUUCUUAUAUUAACAGUAUGGGGAGAGAGAUAUUAGCAUAUGAAUAAGCAACGGCUAACUCCGUGCCAGCAGCCGCGGU
rnacentral:rRNA from 1 species